rnacentral:miRNA from 1 species
AGAUAAUGGGACGGAGGGAGU